rnacentral:rRNA from 1 species
UACAGAGGGUGCUAGCGUUGUUCGGAAUCAUUGGGCGUAAAGGGCGUGUAGGCGGUUUGUUAAGUCAUGUGUGAAAUCCCUCGGCUCAACCGGGGAACGACGCAUGAAACUGGCAAGCUAGAGUACCAAAGAGGGGGGUGGAAUUCCCGGUGUAGCGGUGAAAUGCGUAGAUAUCGGGAGGAACAUCCGUGGCGAAGGCGGCCACCUGGACCAGCACUGACACUGAGGCACGAAAGCGUGGGGAGCAAACAGG